ensembl:lncRNA
UGACCACCACCACUUCAACUGACACUCCAGGACAAAAAGAUGAAGAGGAGAAUGGAUGACCACCACCACUUCAACUGACACUCCAGGACGAAAAGAUGAAGAGGAGAAUGGAUGACCACCACCACUUCAACUGAAACUCCAGGACGAAAAGAUGAAGAGGAGAAAGGAUGACCACCACCACUUCAACUGAUACUCCAGGACGAAAAGAUGAAGAGGAGAAUGGAUGACCACCACCACUUCAACUGAUACUCCAGGACGAAAAGAUGAAGAGGAGAAUGGAUGACCACCACCACUUCAACUGACACUCCAGGACGAAAAGAUGAAGAGGAGAAUGGAUGGAGGGAGGGAGGAAGAGAUUAAUGGCUGGAUGGAGGGAUGAAUGCUGGAGAGGUGACUGAAUAAAGGGAUGAAUGCUGGAGAGGUGACUGGAUGGAGGGAUGAAUGCUGGAGAGGUGACUGGAUAAAGGGAUGAAUGCUGGAGAGGUGACUGGAUAAAGGGAUGAAUGCUGGAGAGGUGACUGGAUAAAGGGAUGAAUGCUGGAGAGGUGACUGGAUAAAGGGAUGAAUGGAUGGAGGGAUGGAAAUGUGCCUGCGUGCAGGUGACACUGUCCAUGUUGAUCGUGGAGAAAUAAAAAUACACGCUUUUAUAAAUCAAUCAAAUAUAUUUUAUAAAGCCUGUUUCACAUCUGCAGCCUGUAUAUGAACUGGAUUUCCACAUCAACACGCACUGACCACUGUCACAAAAAUAAACUAAUUCCCUGGAGAGUGUGGAGCAUGGAUAUAUUUUAAAUAAAAGGUCUCUGUGCCUGUCCCAACAAGGAAAAAGGGUUUUUACCCACUUAGG